CCUGGCUCAGAAUCAACGCUGGCGGCGUGCCUAACACAUGCAAGUCGAACGCGAAAGUGGAGCAAUCCAUGAGUAGAGUGGCAAACGGGUGAGUAACACGUGGGCGACCUACCUCUGAGUGGGGGAUAACCUUCCGAAAGGAGGGCUAAUACCGCAUGACAUCCCGUGUUUGGAUACACGGACAUCAAAGCCGGGGAUCGCAAGACCUGGCGCUUAGAGAGGGGCCCGCGUCCGAUUAGCUAGUUGGUGAGGUAACGGCUCACCAAGGCUCCGAUCGGUAUCCGGCCUGAGAGGGCAGACGGACACACUGGAACUGAGACACGGUCCAGACUCCUACGGGAGGCNGCAGUGGGGAAUUCCNCGCAAUGGGCGCAAGCC
rnacentral:rRNA from 1 species